rnacentral:rRNA from 1 species
UACAGAGGUCCCAAGCGUUGUUCGGAUUCACUGGGCGUAAAGGGUGCGUAGGUGGUUGGGCAAGUCUGAUGUGAAAUCUCCGGGCUUAACCCGGAAAUGGCAUUGGAAACUGCCCGGCUAGAGUGUUGAAGGGGGGACUGGAAUUCUCGGUGUAGCAGUGAAAUGCGUAGAUAUCGAGAGGAACACCAGUGGCGAAGGCGAGUCCCUGGACAACUACUGACACUGAGGCACGAAAGCUAGGGGAGCAAACAGG